GGAGCCCACAGGUGAAACCAUAGCGUGAAGAAAGCCCAGGAAGAGAAACCCCAUUGAGAAAGGCUCGCAGGAGGCUUGGUGUGCGGCAGGCUAUGGCGCAGCAUGCGGGCUCGGCCCAGGCAUGCGUAGGGCGUGUGGCCCAGGCCAGUGUUGGAGCUUUAUGGUUUCAUGCAUGCAUGUUUUACAAAAGGAGUAUGCAGUAGAAUUUUAAAAUUUUUC
rnacentral:lncRNA from 1 species